rnacentral:misc_RNA from 1 species
UACGUAGGUGGCAAGCGUUGUCCGGAAUUAUUGGGCGUAAAGCGCCCGCAGGCGGCUCUGCAAGUUCCAAGUGAAAUCUCCCGGCUCAACUGGGAGGGGUCUUGGAAAACUGCAGGGCUUGAGGCAGGGAGAGGGAUGCGGAAUUCCAGGUGUAGCGGUGGAAUGCGUAGAUAUCUGGAGGAAUACCGGUGGCGAAGGCGGCCCCCUGGACAAAGACUGACGCUCAGGUGCGAAAGCGUGGGGAGCAAACAGG